rnacentral:rRNA from 1 species
AGGGUUUGAUUAUGGCUCAGAUUGAACGCUGGCGGUAACUUUUAAACAUGCAAGUCGAGCGGUAACAGACAUAAAGAUUCAGCUUGCUGAAUCCGGUGCUGACGAGCGGCGAACGGGUGAGUAACGCGUAGGAAUCUACCCAGUAGCGGGGGAUAGCCCGAGGAAACUCGGAUUAAUACCGCAUACGCCCUGAGGGGGGAAGGGGGCAAUUUAUUGCUCUCACUAUUGGAUGAGCCUGCGUAAGAUUAGCUUGUUGGUAGGGUAAUGGCCUACCAAGGCGACGAUCUUUAGCUGGUCUGAGAGGACGAUCAGCCACAUUGGGACUGAGACACGGCCCAGACAUCUACGGAUGGCAGCAGUUAAGAAUAUUGGACAAUGGGGGCAACCCUGAUCCAGGUAUACCGCGUGUGUGAAGAAGGCCCUAGGGUUGUAAAGCACUUUAAUCAGUGAAGAAGCAUUUUAAGUUAAUACCUUAAUUUGUUGACGUUACCUGAAGAAUAAGGACCGGCUAACUCCGUGCCAGCCGCCGCGGUAAUAC